AAUAAUAUUUGAAAUUAAAUUUAUGAAAAUAUAAAUUUUGAAUUAAACUUAAAAUUUAAGAUUAAAAUAAGAAAAUACUAAAGUUUUGAGCACUGUGUUUAAAGUUUAUGUUUUAGGGUUUAAACCCAAAUCCCUAAACAUAAACUUUAAAACUUCAAUUUUUCAUAAUAUUACUAUAACCUUAAAUUUAAAUUCAAAAUUAAAUCAUUUUUAAAAUACAAUCUAAAAUUUAAAUUCUAAUUUCGUGUUUGAAUCAACGCUCGAGAUUUAAUUUCAAAUAUUAAAUCUAAAUCUUAAACCCUAAACUAUAAACCUAUAUAAUAUUCCAAAUCAAUAAUAUACCUUAAACUCUAACUAAAAAUCAUAAAACUCUAAUCUUUUUAUUAUUUAACUUCAAAUCUCAAAUUUAAUUAAAAAUAUAAUCUUAAAUCCAAACCCAAAACACUAUACUCCAAACCCUAUAAUUAUAUAUAAAUCUUAGAUUUAUUUAAAUAGAUACUUUACAUAAAUGUAUUUUUAUAAAAUUUCUUAUAAACCUAAACAACAUACCCCAAAUCAUACGCUAAACACCAAACCUAAUAUUUUCAAACUCAAACACUAUAUUAUAACCUUUAAAUUUAAACUCCAAACCCUAAACUAUACACUAAGAUCAUAUAACCCAAGUGAUAUACAUAAAUACUAAAGUUAAUAUCUUCAAACUUAAAACCUAAAUUGAAAUAUAAUUCUUAAAAAUAUAACUUUAAAAUAUAUUUUUCUAACUUUAAUCUAAUCUUCAAACCCUACAUCGUAAUCUUUAAUCCAAACUUCUUAACCUUAAAAUUAACUUCAAACCCUACCCAAUCCUCAAACCUUAUUAAAUCUUAUAUCAGGCCCGGCCCUGAGGGGAAGCUAAGGAAGCAUGGGCUUCCGGCCCUCAAAUAAUAUAAAUAAAAUUCAGCCAUUUUUCCAAAAAGUCUUCUUAGUCUAGUGGUGUAAAUCAUCUAUCUUUACACUUAGAAGCCUGGGUUCGAACCUUGUACAUGCCAAUCUCAGCCUUUUUUUUAGUUAGCUUGUGGUCUUGAAAUAGUCAGGACCGCUACUGUCUUAUAUACACAUAUGGUACAGUUUAAGAAUUUACGAACAUAUAUAUAUACAUAUUUUCUUUUUUUUCUUUUCUAUAAUUUAUAAGUAAUAAUAAAUUAAUACAAAAAGAGAAAUAAUCUUACUGGUCAAUCUAAAAGCACACGGAUUACUAUCCCUACCGUUGAUUAAGUUGAAUCCAUGGACUAAAAUUAUUUCUCCUUUUCUCCUCCUUCGUCAUUUACUUUCUCUUGUUCUUUCUUCUGCAGACACAAAAUUUCUUCUUCUCAAGUUUCAUACUGCUCUGCUCAUUACCUCCCCUGCUCCAUUCGAGCUGCUAUCACCGGAUUUUCCCUUCCCAUCCCUGACGAGCCACAGCCGUGCUGACUCUCUCCCGCCGCCGCGAAGACUCUUCUUUUAUCGGCCGUGACCAGCUCUUCUCAUCCCUCUCAAUGAAGUUGGAGGAUGUACAAGAGGCUUGACUAUGGAGAAGGCAAAGCGUGGUCUCGGCGUCUGUGGUGCAAGGCGUGGUCUCGGCGGCGGUUGUGCAAGGCGUGGUCGUAGUGUGGUGGUGCGGCGGAGAGAACAUGUGUUUAGGGUUUAGAUGCUGCGGUGGUUUGAUUAGUAAACCAUUUUGUAAUAGUAAACCAUGUAAUUGUAAUUGUAAUUGUAAACCAUGUAAACCAAAAUUCAAUUUAUAAAAAUACCAAUUUAUUAUU